rnacentral:rRNA from 1 species
UACGGGGGGGGCAAGCGUUGUUCGGAAUUACUGGGCGUAAAGGGCGCGUAGGCGGCCUUCUAAGUCGAACGUGAAAUCCCCAGGCUCAACCCGGGAACUGCGUCCGAUACUGGAAGGCUUGAAUCCGGGAGAGGGAUGUGGAAUUCCAGGUGUAGCGGUGAAAUGCGUAGAUAUCUGGAGGAACACCGGUGGCGAAGGCGACAUCCUGGACCGGUAUUGACGCUGAGGCGCGAAAGCCAGGGGAGCAAACGGG